rnacentral:rRNA from 1 species
GCUAAACGCGAAGAACCUUACCAAGGCUUGACAUAUACGAGAACGCGCCAGAAAUGGUGAACUCUUUGGACACUCGUAUACAGGUGGUGCAUGGUUGUCGUCAGCUCGUGUCGUGAGAUGUUCGGUUAAGUCCGGCAACGAGCGCAACCCUCGUCCUAUGUUGCCAGCGGUUCGGCCGGGAACUCAUGGGAUACUGCCGUGGUCAACACGGAGGAAGGUGGGGAUGACGUCAAAUCAUCAUGCCCCUUAUGUCUUGGGCUUCACGCAUGCUACAAUGGCCGGUACAAAGGGCUGCAAUACCGCAAGGUGGAGCGAAUCCCAAAAAGCCGGUCUCAGUUCGGAUUGAGGUCUGCAACUCGACCUCAUGAAGUCGGAGUCGCUAGUAAUCGUGGAUCAGCAACGCCACGGUGAAUACGUUCCCGGGUCUUGUACACACCG